rfam:Schistosoma mattheei strain Denwood, Zambia genome assembly, scaffold: SMTD_scaffold0002196
AGCCUUCUGUAUCUGUGCUGAUAUUUCGUCACACACCAGACCACAAGGGUUGAUGAGACUCCCAAAAUAAGUGAAGCG